rnacentral:lncRNA from 1 species
GGUAAAAUCACUGGCAUGUUGUUGGAGAUUGAUAAUUCAGAACUUCUUCAUAUGCUCGAGUCUCCAGAGUCACUCCGUUCUAAGGUUGAUGAAGCUGUAGCUGUACUACAAGCCCACCAAGCUAAAGAGGCUGCCCAGAAAGCAGUUAACAGUGCCACCGGUGUUCCAACUGUUUAAAAUUGAUCAGGGACCAUGAAAAGAAACUUGUGCUUCACCGAAGAAAAAUAUCUAAACAUCGAAAAACUUAAAUAUUAUGGAAAAAAAACAUUGCAAAAUAUAAAAUAAAUAAAAAAAGGAAAGGAAACUUUGAACCUUAUGUACCGAGCAAAUGCCAGGUCUAGCAAACAUAAUGCUAGUCCUAGAUUACUUAUUGAUUUAAAAACAAAAAAACACAAAAAAAUAGUAAAAUAUAAAAACAAAUUAAUGUUUUAUAGACCCUGGGAAAAAGAAUUUUCAGCAAAGUACAAAAAUUUAAAGCAUUCCUUUCUUUAAUUUUGUAAUUCUUUACUGUGGAAUAGCUCAGAAUGUCAGUUCUGUUUUAAGUAACAGAAUUGAUAACUGAGCAAGGAAACGUAAUUUGGAUUAUAAAAUUCUUGCUUUAAUAAAAAUUCCUUAAACAG